rnacentral:tRNA from 1 species
GGCCCCUUAGCUCAGUUGGUCAGAGCAGCUGACUCAUAAUCAGUUGGUCGAGAGUUCAAGUCUCCCAGGGGCCA